UACGUAGGGGGCAAGCGUUAUCCGGAUUUACUGGGUGUAAAGGGAGCGUAGACGGCAGGGCAAGUCUGGAGUGAAAGGCAGGGGCCCAACCCCUGGACUGCUCUGGAAACUGUCCGGCUGGAGUGCAGGAGAGGUAAGUGGAAUUCCUAGUGUAGCGGUGAAAUGCGUAGAUAUUAGGAGGAGCACCAGUGGCGAAGGCGGCUUACUGGACUGUAACUGACGUUGAGGCUCGAAAGCGUGGGGAGCAAACAGG
rnacentral:rRNA from 1 species